AACAAAACUACGAAGUCAGUCUGACUAUCAUCACAACUCCGCUGGAUGAAGGAUGAAGCCCCGGAGAGGCUAAGCAACUCAUUCAGCUUCCUACCAUGGAAUUUCCUCACAGCAUUCUCGCAGCCCUUCUGCAAGGAGAGCGUGCUAAGUGAUCUCUCACGUCCCACAGCGCUGCCAGCCUGGGCUCCUCGUGCGAUCCCAGCCUUAACUGCAUCAAGAUCCCAGUGUACACUGCAGCCCGGGCCCCUCCCUCUGCCACCGUGGCCUGGGCAACAGCACCCUUCCACCAGGACUGUGGCGCCAGGGAGGAGAGAGGUUUCCAGGGUCGGGUUCCUCCAGCUCCACGGCCGUGGUGCCAGGCUCUGCAGCCCUUCCCACCUCCUCCCCACUGCGCAAACCCAGGCAAACGAGUUCACAUUUUUAAGCCUUUAAAGUUGCUUUCUUCUCUUCCAUUUUGAUGAAAGGACUGUUGUGAAAACCUGGGUUUCGGAGGCCUGGCCCAGUACACCGUGGCAUGACUGCCCUGUGUGAAGUUCGCAGGGACGCCUGUGGUCAGCGUUUGUUCUUUUGCACUUCUGGUUGCCCGCUGCUGUGAAUUCCUCCACGUUUCAUCCUCCACUUCCCCGGCUGCCUUUGCUGGGUGCUUGUGUCUUCCACUAAUUCUUCAAUGUCGAGAAUGCCCCAUGUGACUUCUACAGGAAGAUCCUUGGACAAGGAAAGGAAAGCAAAGUUUGGGUCAAAUUAUCUUGGCCAGAGGGAAGACUUUGAGAUUAGAGUCAACUGCUGACUUGGCCAUUCCCACAGCUGCUCUGCAGAUCUUCUGUUUGAAGAGGGGGGGAUGCUGUCUUGCUUUUCAAGCAGAUGGCUUGGGAUGAGGUCGGCCACUUUUCCACUCUGGGGCUCGGGGGUCUUGGCUUUGCCCGCAGGGGAUGCUCUCACCAUUUGCACCCUCUGUGCCUCGUAUCCUCUUCUUGUCUGUGGUUUAGGGAUGUUCAGCUUGAUAAAAUGCAAUGACCACGGCAGGGCUGCACCUUAGGAUUACCUGUUGAAGCCUGCCAGGGUCCCACGUGGGGUGCUAAAAUCUAGCAUGUGCUCAGCAUGCCGGGCUGUGUACCUGCCACAUGACUGUAUACCUGUGCUGGUGAGGAGGUUCCUAGGGCUUCUAAUUGCUCAGGGAUCCAGGGAGGUAGGUAUAGACCUGAAUCACCGGCUUUCCUGAUGGCCUCGCACAUUUUAGUGUUUUUGUGUGCAUUUGUAGACUGGAUUUAUCAUUACUGUUGAAAAUUCAGAUCAACUACCCUGAUGCCUGCUUCUGCCAAUAAUAAUCGGGCUCUUCCAGCAUUGCAGAUGUAGUUCAUCAGGGCAAAUCCUCACGUAGUCUGUUUGUGUUCUUUGCCCCUACCUUCUUCCCCGCUUGUUUCCCUCCCUCUCUGGCUUUCAGUUCAUGCUGCAUUACCACCGCGGGCUGUGUAUUCUCCCUCCCUCUGCCUCCCCAUAUAUGCUUUUCUAUCCCAGUUCCCCACUCUCAUUCAAGGAGUUUCAUAAGCAUUUUAUGGUAGUAUUGUUGCACAACAUAAACUGUUCUUUGUGCAAGGCUGUAGGCUGCAGAAAUUGUAUAGUGCUAUAAAUACCAUUUUGAUAUUCCUCCACUUGGCACAACGUUACCAAGAUAUAGCUAGUUAAGUGUUGCAUUGCUUUAUUCCCUUGCCCAUUCUCUUUGGUCUGCUUGCUUUCUGGUCUGCUUGCUUAUCGACGCAAGGCACAGUUGAAGUGUCCCUUCAUUCUGAAGUCUCUCCUCCUUCCUCCAGAGUAAGGCUCCCUCUUCUGGGCCUCCACCGCAUUUGUUCCUUAUUCUGUUGCUGUAACCGUGGUCUUAUUUUGCAAUGAAUAAAAAC
rnacentral:lncRNA from 1 species